AAUUGGCUUCAGUUUAAGCCCUUCAACUAUUCACGCAAACGUACAUUUUUCCUAAAAAAUCAGCAAAUUAAUGCAUUUGCCCAAUUUGCAUAUGUCAUCAAUAUGCAAAUUAGGUAAAGGCAUUAAUUAUAAUAAGCAUGCGAAAGACUGAUUUUUAGGAAAAAAUGGAUAGUUAAGGGGCUUAAACUAAAGGAAAUGGUCUGAUCUUUUGUACAGUAAUUAAAAAACCAACAAAUUUUCCAUCCAUUAACUCAAAAUAGUGAUCGAUGAGCUUGUUUUGUACUUUUCCACGUGGACUAUAUCAAAACGAUUGCUAUAGAAAUCUUCAAAACAUUUCUCAAAAAUUCCUUAGAUAUACUUUUUUUCUUCCUUGAAAUUCUAUUUUUGUGUCAAAAUUUCCUUGAAAAUUAAAAGAGACCAAGUGAGCUACUGAGCUCUACAGACACUGGAACGCUAUCUCGAAGCAGCACAUGUACAAGCUUUAGAAGUUAUUUUUCCUAUUAGAUGAACCUCAUAAUCAAUAUUUUCAUCAAAAGCCUUCGAUUUUAAAGACUUGAGAACAUUUCGUUUUGUUUUCAGGAAAAUGAAAGAAGUUAGCGCAUGGCCCCAGGCGGAUUAUUGAUUGUGAU
rnacentral:lncRNA from 1 species